CAGCCUCCGCAGGCUGGCCGGCCCGGAGGCUGGGCUGUGUGAGUAUCUCUUUGAAAGGCUCACUCUCAAACACGACUAGGAAC
rnacentral:pre_miRNA from 1 species